AUGGGGUGUGAUUUGUGCACUUUUUGCUACUCACUAAGCAGACUGAGAGGAGAACUGACGUGUAUACGCUCGCCAGCCGUCUGGCCAAAAUCCCAUAGUAUUCAGGCGUCAGACGUAAGAUAUAAGACGUUAGACGUCACGGUCACGUGUUGGAGCUGUGCUCAAACUGCGCGGCGGCGUGGCGGCGACGUAGCAAAGAAAGGAUUUUUUUUACUUUGCGUCUGGAUAACGUACGUGUGGAUAAGCGUCUGGAUAACGUACGUGUGGAUAAGCGUCUGGAUAACGUACGUGUGGAUAAGCGUCUGGAUAACGUACGUGUGGAUAAGCGUCUGGAUAACGUACGUGUGGAUAAGCGUCUGGAUAACGUACGUGUGGAUAAGCGUCUGGAUAACGUACGUGUGGAUAAGCGUCUGGAUAACGUACGUGUGGAUAAGCGUCUGGAUAACGUACGUGUGGAUAAGCGUCUGGAUAACGUACGUGUGGAUAAGCGUCUGGAUAACGUACGUGUGGAUAAGCGUCUGGAUAACGUACGUGUGGAUAAGCGUCUGGAUAACGUACGUGUGGAUAAGCGUCUGGAUAACGUACGUGUGGAUAAGCGUCUGGAUAACGUACGUGUGGAUAAGCGUCUGGAUAACGUACGUGUGGAUAAGCGUCUGGAUAACGUACGUGUGGAUAAGCGUCUGGAUAACGUACGUGUGGAUAAGCGUCUGGAUAACGUACGUGUGGAUAAGCGUCUGGAUAACGUACGUGUGGAUAAGCGUCUGGAUAACGUACGUGUGGAUAAGCGUCUGGAUAACGUACGUGUGGAUAAGCGUCUGGAUAACGUACGUGUGGAUAAGCGUCUGGAUAACGUACGUGUGGAUAAGCGUCUGGAUAACGUACGUGUGGAUAAGCGUCUGGAUAACGUACGUGUGGAUAAGCGUCUGGAUAACGUACGUGUGGAUAAGCGUCUGGAUAACGUACGUGUGGAUAAACGUCUGGAUAACGUACGCGUGGAUAAACGUCUGGAUAACGUACGCGUGA
ensembl:lncRNA